GCGGGACGCUGAUCGCAUGGUCUUCUGGGAAGCUUUCGCGGUAUGGGAUGGGGUCGCGUCCUAUCAGCUUGACGGCGGGGUAACGGCCCACCGUGGCUUCGACGGGUAGCCGGCCUGAGAGGGCGACCGGCCACAUUGGGACUGAGAUACGGCCCAGACUCCUACGGGAGGCAGCAGUGGGGAAUAUUGCACAAUGGGCGCAAGCCUGAUGCAGCGACGCCGCGUGAGGGAUGGAGGCCUUCGGGUUGUAAACCUCUUUUAUCGGGGAGCAAGCGAGAGUGAGUUUACCCGUUGAAUAAGCACCGGCUAACUACGUGCCAGCAGCCGCGGUAAUACGUAGGGUGCAAGCGUUAUCCGGAAUUAUUGGGCGUAAAGGGCUCGUAGGCGGUUCGUCGCGUCCGGUGUGAAAGUCCAUCGCUUAACGGUGGAUCCGCGCCGGGUACGGGCGGGCUUGAGUGCGGUAGGGGAGACUGGAAUUCCCGGUGUAACGGUGGAAUGUGUAGAUAUCGGAAAAGAACACCCA
rnacentral:rRNA from 1 species